UUCAGAAAGAGAGAAAAAAAAAAAAAAGAGUUAUACAUCUCCCUCUCUUCCCCUCCUUCUUCACCAUUUUCCAAUCCCAUCCUUCCUUUCAUUUUCUUCAUUUUUUCCGGCCGAUCUACAACCACGAAGGAACCCAUCGAUUGGUCACACCUUCCCCUUUCUCAAGCCAACCAAGCCUUCCCAUAUCUCUAUCCUUUCCUUUAUUUAUUUUUCUAUCCAUGCACAUUCCUCUCUCCAUCAUGAAACCACAACCAAAUUUCCAAGCGUAUAAAGCACCAGCUCCGACAAGCCCUCUUCUUUUUUCAAUCAAAAUAAGCCACCGCCAUUUUCUUUUUACCAACCUCUCUCUUCCUACCAGCGUCAUCACCUGCCAAUCUCUAUUAACAACAACCAUUGCCCCAAAACUGUCAGCCUUAAAAUCUCCAGCUCCCUCCAUUUGAAACCAAGCUAAAACCACCAAAUCUCUUUCUCAGCGACCAAAAUCACCAUCUCCCUCCACCCAAAAAACAACCUUAAAAAAUCAAUUAAAAAAAAGAACAGUACCGGUGCGUGAAGCACAAGUGCCACCCCUUAGCACUCGUGUCUGCAUGCUAGGAUGUAAUUUUACUCGCUAUCACUGCCCAACCCAGUUCUAGCAAUUUUAAAUGGAUUGGAUCAAGUUUUCCUCAUCACAUUCAUGGUGGAAUAUGGAAUAUUCAAGAUCAUGGAUGCAAAGAAAUUUGAAGGUUAUCUCAUCCUUUACUGUUAAGAAAGAAAGAGUAUGGAUUCCGAUAAUAUCUUGAUCUAAUGUGUCUUAAUCAAGGCAUUGUCCCAUCAUAGGCACAGCUUAUUCUCAAUACAUCUCACUUAUUUCCAUGGAUGCCCGACUUAAAUUCCAGGCACAUUCACCAUCAUCUUUUUCACUCUCUCUUUCAAUUAAUUAAAAGUUUUCUUUUUAGUACAGUUCUGUUACUUGUACUGAGAUUAUUGUGGUGCGUCACGGCGAGACGGCGUGGAAUGUUGACGGAAGAGUUUCUUAGCAUUUCUUGUUCUAAUGCUGGAGUUAAUUUCUUAACCUUGUAUGUUUAAGGCAGCUGAUAGACUAUCCAGGGAGUUCAAACUUUAAAGUCUCUCUAGUGUAUUCUUCUUAUUUGAAGCGAGCUUCCGAGAUAUAAUUAAGAAUUACUCCAUUUUUCAAA